rnacentral:rRNA from 1 species
UACGUAGGGUGCGAGCGUUGUCCGGAAUUAUUGGGCGUAAAGAGCUUGUAGGCGGUUUGUCGCGUCUGCCGUGAAAAUUCGAGGCUCAACCUCGAACUUGCGGUGGGUACGGGCAGACUAGAGUGUGGUAGGGGAGACUGGAAUUCCUGGUGUAGCGGUGAAAUGCGCAGAUAUCGGGAGGAACACCGAUGGCGAAGGCAGGUCUCUGGGCCACUACUGACGCUGAGAAGCGAAAGCAUGGGGAGCGAACAGGA